GGGCAGCAAAAUGCCUAGAGCCGUCCCUGAGUGUACCAGUAAAAAUUGGUAUUGAUCUACUUAGUGCUAAACCUUUGAAAACUGAGCAUGUGCAGUAUAACUGGUAUAAUAUUUGUAGCAACUUAUGCAACACUGCCUUCCAUUGCUCCAAAAGCGUGUGGCUAGCCGAACCGUGUAAUUAAAAACGUACUAAGUGCAUACAAUGACAGCAGCCUUUACUCAGUGUUUCUUUUGUACGGUUAAAGUUGCACAGCUCCUGAGGUCUCCAGGAGAGGGAAGCAUCUAAGGUGUGUGGAACAAUAUAUUCUGGUGGCAUUCAGCCUAAUAGUGCAACAUCAUGGAAUUACCCCCACCCCACCCUAAUUUAAGAAAAAUAAUAUUGAGAAUGUUUCAGUUGUAUACUUAGCACAUAGGAAAGUCUGAAAGCAAUAAUGUUAAGAUUGCAAAAACAACCUUAACUCUGCUCCCUCAUGCAUUACCAUGGUCUUUAAAAUUACAUACUAUUUCAUAUAGUUUUUUUACUUCAACCUUACAAUAAUCUAAAAAUAUUGAUAUACGCGUCUGUGCUUAAAUUGGUUUCAUUGACAUACUGGUCAAGUAUAUGCUCAGUGAAGAAAUUAUUCUCUCUCAGGGGUAUUUUAAUAAUAUAUUCAGCAGCAAUUUACUAUGCAAUUACAUUUUACCCACAGUACAGCCUUGUUUUAAAGGAUGUGGCAGUUAACUACAAAACUAGUUUUAAGACAGCUAAAUAUACAUUUAAUGUGCCAGCAAAUAUUCACUAUUACAUUAAUCUGUAGUAUGCUGCGUAAAAAGAGGAAUACACUUCAAUUAAAUGGCUUUAAUGGAAUAUCUGGUAUACACACAGACUGCAAUCACUACCUGUUUAUCAGAAGUUAUUGAAAGAAGUGUGAGAUUUGAAGGAGGAGAAGAGAAGACAUUGCAUAAGGGGUUCUAGGCAUAGCUGCAUGAAAGAAGUUAGAGACCUGGUAAGGGUACUCAUCCCCAUAAGAACAAUAUUCUAGUAAACCAACUCUAUCUUAUGGACAUUUUACAUUACUCUUGACUAAGGUUCUGUGUCUGUCUCAGAAAUCAUGGAUUCCAUGACUUUCCGCAACCGCCGUGACAUCUGCAGCAGCCGGUGUGGCUGACCCCAGGGCCACCCAAGCAGCUGGUCCCGACAGCGACACUGGCCUCUGCUGGAGUGGCUCUACAGCAAGCCGCCAAGGCGGCCCCAGGGCCAGCUGCACCAGCCGCUGCUCAGACAACCCCACAUGGAUGGGCUGGGGACUGCCCAACCAGCUGCCGCGUGGCUGGUUCCCAGGAUCGGUUAAGCAGCAGUCCCAGGGGGUAGUGAGAGCUGCUGCAGCUCAUUGGCCCCCGGCAGCGGUCCUGGGGUGCCCCCCAAACCCGUCCUAAGGCAGCGAGCCCCCAACUAAGAUUUAGUCAGGGGGUAUUUACAGUACAAGUCAUGGACAGGUCAAGGGCCAUGAAUUUUUGUUUAUUGACCAUGAGACCUGUCCAUGACUUAAUACCCAUGAUUAAAUCGUAGCCUUACUCAUGACACUUGUCAAAAUACAACAAUUUUUCACUUUCCUAAAUAAAUCAGGAUAGAGUGUCAAACUAAAAAAGCAACAUAUUUAAUUCUGUACAGUGUUUAAUUACUGAUUUCCUUUAGUCACAAGCUAUCCACAGACUAUCCGCUUUCUCUCCCAAAAAAAGGUCUGUCAUGUCAGAUGGAUUAAAAAUCUGCUGAAAGUGGUUUAGAUCACAUGUGCAUGCCACGCCCAUCUCCUCCUGUACUCAAGCAGAGCACUAGCGUUUACAGGAACCCUACACUGUAGCAAAUAAAUCAUGCAGAUUUUAAUAACCUGUCUGAUCAUAAGCACUGAGUAAGCAGGCACAAAGUGCAGGUUAAGAGACAGGAAAUGCUACUGUGUGUGCUUAGUGCAUACCUGCAGAGAAUCCCAGUGCCUUCGGUUUCUUUUUGUAGAAUCACUCAAAGUAACCCUUGCUCUAAAUCACCCGGUAACCCUUGUAUCCAGAAGGAAAUGCAUUUUCAGUUAUUAGGAAGUGAGAA